CAUGUCUUUUUGAUUAUAAUUUAAGGUUUAAUCUGCUCAAUGAGGAUUUAAAUUGCCGCGGUAUUUUGACCGUGCAAAGGUAGCAUAAUAAUUAGUUUUUUUAUUGAAAGCUGGAAUGAAUGAUUGGACGAGAAAACUACUGUCUCUUUUUAAUUAAUUUUUUAAUUUAACUUUUAAGUAAAAAGGCUUAAAUUUUUUUUAAAGACGAGAAGACCCUAUAGAGUUUAAUAUUAGUUUUGAUUAGAGAUUUUUGGAAUAUUUUUGUUUUUAAUUUUUUCUAUUAUUUGGUUGGGGUGACCAGAAGAAUUAUUUAACUCUUCUAUUUUUAUAUCAAUGAUUUUUGAAUUUUUAAUCUAAUGUUUUUAAAUUUAAGAUAAAUUACCUUAGGGAUAACAGCGUAAUUUCUUUUUAGAGUUCUUAUUAAAAUUGAAGUUUGCGACCUCGAUGUUGGAUUAAAAUUUAUUAUUGGUGCAGAAGCUGAAUAAUUAAGUCUGUUCGACUUUUAAAAUUUUACAUGAUCUGAGU
rnacentral:rRNA from 1 species